GUGCUCACUUCUCAGCGCAUAUACUGAAAUUGGAAUGAUACAAGAUUAGCAUGGUCCCUGGGGAAAGAUGACAUGCAAAUUCGUUAAGUGUCCCAUAUUUUU